AGAUUAGCUUGCUUUAGUUGUCAGCUAAGUGGCGCACGGGUGAGUAAUGUAUAGGUAAUAUGCCUCUUACUAAGGGAUAACAAAUGGAAACGUUUGCUAAUACCUUAUACUCCUUAUUAACAGAAGUUAAUAAGGGAAAGAUUUAUUGGUAAGAGAUUAGCCUGUAUUGUAUCAGUUAGUUGGUGGGGUAAUGGCUUACCAAGACUAUGACACAUAACUGGUUUGAGAGGAUGAUCAGUCACACUGGAACUGAGACACGGUCCAGACUCCUACGGGAGGCAGCAGUGGGGAAUAUUGCACAAUGGACGAAAGUCCGAUGCAGCAACGCCGCGUGGAGGAUGACACAUUUCGGUGCGUAAACUCCUUUUAUAUGAGAAGAUAAUGACGGUAUUAUAUGAAUAAGCACCGGCUAACUCCGUGCCAGCAGCCGCGGUAAUACGGGGGGUGCAAGCGUUACUCGGAAUCACUGGGCGUAAAGAGCAUGUAGGCGGAUUAAUAAGUUUGAAGUGAAAUCCUAUAGCUUAACUAUAGAACUGCUUUGAAAACUGUUAAUCUAGAAUGUGGGAGAGGUAGAUGGAAUUUCUGGUGUAGGGGUAAAA
rnacentral:rRNA from 1 species